GCCCGACUGGCGUAAUGGCUAACGCGUAAGACUUCUAAUCUUAAGAUUGCGGGUUCGAGUCCCGCGUUGGGUU
rnacentral:tRNA from 1 species